rnacentral:misc_RNA from 1 species
AACGCACAUUGCGCCCGCCAGUACUCUGGCGGGCAUGCCUGUCCGAGCGUCAUUUCAACCCCUCGAGCCCCCGGGCCCGGUGUUGGGGACCGACCAAAGCCUCCGGGCGGUCGUCCCUGAAAUCUAGUGGCGGUCACGUCGCGGACCCUCUGCGUAGUAGCAACACCUCGCACUGGAGAGCGGCGCGCCCACGCCCCGAAACACUUCUUUCACAGGUUGACCUCGGAUCAGGUAGGAAUACCCGCUGAACUUAA